CAAAACUGUUAUGGCUACAAUACCUUUCUUUGAUUGCAUCCAAGUGGGUUUCCAAUGCCUCCAGAGAGGGAUACUGCUUGACCUCCCUAGGCAGAUUCCUACAGGUCUUUGCCACUUUCAAUAUAAAGUUCUUCCUCUUGUUGAGGUGGAAGAUCUUGUGUUUUUGUUUAUGUUCACUGCUCCUUGUUCUGUUGCUGGACACUACUGAAAGGAGUCUGGCAAAAACAUAUUAAGUAUUAGAAAAGUAUUAAGUAUUAGAAAAGUUACAGAGAUUGACAAUGAUUUUUAUUCUUUUUUUCUCUUUUUUUUUUCUUUGUAAAAUUCUCUAUUCUGGAAAUAUAUAAUGAAGAGCUUUUUUAUCUUACUCCUAUUCUCAGCUCUAGAGAAAGACUGCAGAUGUUCGAUGAUCCCAUAUACAAGACACGUGUAAAUGUAAAAGGCUCCAAAGAAAUACCUGACCACAACAAAAAUGAAGCCUACCAGAUCUUGGAAAAAGGUGCAGCAAAAAAAUCUAUUGCAGCUACUUACAUGAAUGCAUUAACUCAAGCAGAUGAACAAGAGCUUGUUGGAACUGGGAAUAUAGACUUGCAUGAGGUAAAAACACUUCAGUUGAUAAAAGAGUUUAUGAAGCUGGAAAUACCAAGUGAUCUAUCCUGAACCAUGAAAGAGUUAUUGCUGCUCUUGUGGAAGAAGACACAGAAGACAUCCUAAGAGGAUCCUUCAAGACUCUAAGAGAACAAAAAGGACAUCAGUAAUAGCCAGAGUUUCUCCCACAUCUAUGAAUCCCAAGGGAAAACAGAGUACAGUGGAGUAUGCUCACAGAGCAAAGAACGUGUUGAAACCUUCAGUUAACCAGUCACUGCCAAAAGGAGCUGUUAUUGAGGAAGAUAUUGAAGAGAUUAAGCACCUGAAAGGAGACCUCUGCUGCACGAGAGUAAAAUGGAAUCUGUAUUUUCAUUCGUAUAGCCCUUAAAAAAAAAGCUGAAAGUUUGGGAAGAAGAAGUUACAGAGGAUAUUGAGAUAAUGAGCACCAUGGAAAAAGUAGUAAAAACAAUCACUAAACCAUUCUCAAUUAAUAAAAGCAAUGAAACAAUGAAAACA
rnacentral:lncRNA from 1 species